CUCCUCCAUGAAUGUCACCA
rnacentral:siRNA from 1 species